UGAACACACUUAUUGUAAGUCACUCUGGAUAAGAGCAUCUGCUAAAUGGCAAAAA
rfam:Salmo salar isolate Sally breed double haploid chromosome ssa21, whole genome shotgun sequence.